rnacentral:rRNA from 1 species
AUGCUACUGCUAGGCUUUUCCCUAAUAGUGUGUGAUGUCCAUGGUGAAGACCAAGGUUGUGAAGGAGGGCUCAUGGACGAUGCCUUUAAAUUCAUUAUCAAGAAUGGCGGUCUCACCACCGAAUCACACUACCCAUAUACCGCUAUAGAAGACAAGUGCAAGGGUGGAACCAAUGGUGUUGCAACCAUCAAAAGCUAUGAGGAUGUUCCAGCCGACAACGAGGGAGCCCUCAUGCAAGCCAUCGCAAGUCAACCUAUCUCGGUAGCUGUAGAUGGAGGAGAUAUGAUGUUCCAGUUUUACAAAGGUGGAGUAAUGACUGGCUCAUGUGGCACUGAUCUAGAUCGUGGUAUUGCAGCUAUUGGUUAUGGCAAGACUAGCGAUGGCACAAAGUAUUGGUUUUUGAAGAAUUCAUGGGGAACAACAUGGGGCGAGAACGGAUAUUUUAGAAUUUAAAAGGAUAUUACAGACAAGAGAGGCGUGGGUGGCCUUGCGAUGGAGCCUUCUUAGCCCCACUGCAUAGAGAGAGUGUCCUAUGCCACAUAUCCUACUAUGCACACAAAUAUCAAAUAA